rnacentral:rRNA from 1 species
UACGGAGGGUGCGAGCGUUAUCCGGAUUCACUGGGUUUAAAGGGUGCGUAGGUGGGAAUGUAAGUCAGUGGUGAAAUCUCUGAGCUUAACUCAGAAACUGCCAUUGAUACUAUGUUUCUUGAAUUUUCUGGAGGUCAGCGGAAUAUGUCAUGUAGCGGUGAAAUGCUUAGAUAUGACACAGAACACCGAUUGCGAAGGCAGCUCACUAAACUGUAACUGACGCUGAGGCACGAAAGCGUGGGGAGCAAACAGG